rnacentral:rRNA from 1 species
GUCUUCUCGCAGGAAUUGGGAAGUCUGUCCUGCCCACUGAGGGGUUUUGAAGGGCCGCGGUAUAUUGACCGUGCGAAGGUAGCAUAAUCAAUAGUCUCUUAAUUGGAGGCUGGAAUGAAUGGUUGGACGGGAAGAGGGCUGUCUUGUCCAGAGGGUGUGAAGUUGACUUUUGUGUGAAAAGGCACAGAUGAUUUGGGGGGACGAUAAGACCCUAUAAAACUUGAUGGUUUAGCGAGGUUCUUGAAUUGGGGUUUAAUAAGUGCUUGGGUAAAGCUAUUUUGCUGGGGAGGCAGGGAUAAAAAUUGUUAACUGUUUUAUAAUUUUAAUAGUAAUGAUUAGAUAAUGACCCUUAAUUUGGGUUUAAGAGUUUAAGUUACUUUAGGGAUAACAGCGUAAUUUCUUUUGAGAGUUCGUAUCGACAAAGAUAGUUGCGACCUCGAUGUUGAAUUAAAACUUCCUGCAGGAGCAGAGAUUUGUGGGGUAGGUCUGUUCGACCUUUAAAGUUUU